ensembl:lncRNA
CAACAGUGGCAGGGAGUCCGAGUCUGAGGUAGAAUUCAGGAGCUUUUCAGAGAAGUGCCAUAUUUCAUUGUAUUACCUUGGAUUGCUUGACACCCUCCUUGCACUAGGCACAUGAAAGCAGGAAGUGUCAUAUCUAUGAAGACUUCAGAAAAGAAAUACAUGAGCAAAGUUACUACAAUUCAUGUGGGUAGGAGAGAGAAGUGAUUUGCAGCGGAUUACACUGAAAACACUCCAGGUCUCAUUGAGCUCUGAGGUCACAGUUAUUUACCUGAUAAGCAGAUUUUAGCCCAGCACGGAAGUGAGGAAGAAUACAAACAAACAAAGCCUAGAGAAAGUUAAGAUCUAUGUAACUAAUGAACUCAUCACAGGGUAAUAACCAUAUACAGGAUUCCAAUAUUAUGCAAAUACAUCUGAACAAUCGCAGAUCAGAUUUCAGAUGGAAGAUGCUAAACUGAAGAAUUUAGCAACAAAACAGAGUCAUUACUUCUAUUGCAGAGGAAACCAAGAACUUAGCUCACAGGUCUGCAUCAAUAUAAUUCAUGUCAAUCAUUUUGCUUGAGGAAAGCAGACUUCAGUGUGAAUCAUUUUUACUGAUGAUUACACAAGCAUUCCUCCCAAGAGUAGGAGAGUCUCCCCCACAACUUCACUCGUUGCACCAUAGUGCACUAUACGCAAAUGGUCCUCUAGUAUUGCAUCAGUAUUUUCCUGCACCAAUUUAUAUUUAUUGAAAACUGUUUACCUCUAAGUCAUCUUGCUUAGUUCUACAGAUCAAAUCAGACAAGAUCUGACCAGAUGACCUUUCCUUUUCAGUAGAAACAUUUGAUUCUUCAUGCAAAACUACUGUUUAUAUUCUAGCAGUCUCCCCAGGAUUGGUCAACUGGCAAGGCAGCAUCCAUGUGACUCAGAAAGAGCUGACAAUGUUAGUGGAAAUUAUAGCAUGGAGAUUUUGAUUCUGUACAAGAGAGUAGCUUUGGUUCUUUUCUUCUUUUUUAUACAUGCUUACUGAACAAAAGUAAGCCCCAAAUAUUUAAGCCUCAAAUGAGGAGAACCCAUGCUGCCAACUUAGACUUUUCUGAUGAACAUAUUACUAUUUCUGUUCACAAAAUCUUGCAGAAAUAUUGGAUCAUAAUUUGUUUUAAAUAUAACUUGAAAAAUAAAAUAGCAUUUUCUGAGAGUAUAGACAGAAAAAGCAAAAAUCUUUCACCUUCUGCAAACACUUCCAUCGCUGCUGGUCUUAGCAGAUCUUUUAUUCACCCAGUGAAUGCCAGAGCAUGACCCAGAUUUAUUACUUAUCAUUAAAUUUGCAGAUGUUUCAGACAUUGCACAUGCAAAAGUGGUUAUUAAAAAUAUUUGAGUUUGAGACCAACUGUACUGUAAAAGAGCAAAACCUCUGAGUGUGAGUCCAAAGAAGAUUUAGGGCAUUAGGUUUUGGUGGAUUUUUGGAAAAGAACCUGCAAGAAUGAAAAGAAUGAAUGAAAAGAACCACAAGAAAAGAAUUUGCAAGAAUGCAAGAAUGGAAAAGAAUCUACAAGACUGCUGCAAUAAGUAGAACAAAAUUGCAAAUAAAUAAAUAAAUAGAACUACUUUAUCCUAUGUAGUCAAAAAAUAGAGAAGGGUGAACAACAUAAAAAUUGCUGUGACCUUCUCAAAGAAAAGAAUAUAAGGAAGGGCUGGGUGGAACAAAGGACAUUCCCAAAAAGCAGGAAAUGGACUAAGAAAUAUAGGAUAUAACACACAAAAAAAAACCAAGAUUACUGUUUCCAUAAGAAUAAUCAAAAAGAGGAAUAAACCCAUUCAAUCCCCUGCUAAUUCUCACAGAUCUGUGCCCCCUAUGGGAGUAGAGAUACAAAGCUUGCUAACCUCAGAAAUAGAAAGACACAUCAAAAGUAUAAAAGGUCACACCAAGUUUCAGGAGAAUCUUAAUCUUCAUGUUAGCUAAAGAAAAGUUCAGCCUAGUUCUUUCAUGGCAGUGACUUAGAAAGAAGCUUUUAAAACUAGUUCCCAAACUGUAAAAAUGAGAUUCAAAUGCAGGAUGUUAUCCUUAAAAUCAGAUUGGAACAGUAUUACUUCCUUAAAAGAAACAAAUUAAAAACUGAGAAGAGUGCAGAUGCAGACUAGAAGGAAAAAAAAAAAAAAAAAGAGGAAAAAUGUGAGUUAAAACAGCACAUCUGUAAAAGUUUUAUAAAAAAGAAUAAUCAGAGGGAAAUAGAAGAAAAACUUUUCAGGAGAUGUUCACAUCAAACAUGAAAAAAAUGUAGAGAUUUGAAAAUAAUUUCUUGAAGUCACGUCUACUAUAAUUUUAACAGCAGAAAUUGCAUUAAGUAUAGACAGAAAGAAAGAAAAAGCUCAUUAUCAAAGAUUAGCUUUGAAGUAUUGGGCUAUGACAAAGGUACUGCAGUGGAUGAAAGCCAGCAAUAUUCAAGACAUAAUAAUUCAGCAUUUCUCUCCAAGGCACUCUCUAAAGUUUUAUCAAUCAAAACAAAAAUGUACUUAGAAAUAGGGUACAUAUGCAGAGCAAAAGACCAUGAAAGCAAUCUGAAUACAGAAAAGCUGUGAAAAGUCCUGUCCAACUAAUUUAAACAGAAGCCCUCAUUAAAUGUUUACUGAAUGUAUGUAAGGAAGCUUCUAGGCAGUAUGUGACGUCAGUAUGUAGUCUUUGUUACUUUGAUUGUUUUGUGUUGUAUUUUUCCUGACAGAUUAAUGGAUAGGAAAGAAGGAACAUCUUAAUGCUGCAAUGAGAGGACAACAAUAGUCUGAAGUCUUAUGGUUUCAUUGGGUUCAGUAGGUCCUCUGGGACUCAAUUGUCUAUGUGCAAUUAGUGUGUAAAAUGAUCCUAGGUCACCUUAUCUUUCAUUUUACUGGGAAAAGCAUCUUUAUUUCUUCUCUAAGUAUCGGAGCUAAACCAUAUGGAUAAUGCCCUAUCACAGUGCCCUGAAAAAAAGUCAUGAAAUACUGAGAAUCUUGUAGCUGAACAGCAGCCUGCGUCACACUAAUAAUUUUCCUUUUCCAAACCAUUUUUAAAACAAGAACAAAGCACUACUGCUAUGCUUUCUAAAACAAGUUCUACAAAACUAAUGAAUAGGAACAGACAGACAGGACGCCUUUUACUAACCCAAGUAUGUAAUUACAUUUCUAAGAUAAAGCUGUGAAUGCUGAGUAUUUCUGAAAAUAAGGAAAUUUGUCCUAAAUAGUAAAACUGUUCAACCCAGAAUUUUCCAUACUGAAAGAGUUUCAUAUCUGUCCUGCAGUCUGAAAAGGCAUUUAUCCCUUAUCCCUCCAAAAAUUUCUUUCUCUGCCUCUCUCUAGUUUUCUUAUUCUGUACCAACUUCCUUAUUUCAUACUUUUUUUUUGUUAUAAUCCCAUUUUUUCCUUCAUUCUUCUAUUGUGCUAUUCUCAUUGCAAGGUCCAUUCAGGCAUCCAUCUAAAUAUACCUUGUUCUGUUAAACAUAGAUGUUAAUGGUGGCAAUUUUUUCUCUUUUGUAUCCUCUUUCAAACAGAGUGAAUAAACUAUGACAAAAG